AGAGUUUGAUCAUGGCUCAGAAUCAACGCUGGCGGCGUGCCUAACACAUGCAAGUCGAACGAGAAAAUGGAGCAAUCCAUGAGUAAAGUGGCGCACGGGUGAGUAACACGUGACUAACCUACCCUUGAGUGGGGAAUAACCUAGGGAAACCUGGGCUAAUACCGCAUAACACCUACGGGUCAAAGGAGCAAUUCGCUUAAGGAGGGGGUCGCGGCAGAUUAGCUAGUUGGCGGGGUAAUGGCCCACCAAGGCAGUGAUCUGUAUCCGGCCUGAGAGGGCGCACGGACACACUGGAACUGAAACACGGUCCAGACUCCUACGGGAGGCAGCAGUGGGGAAUUUUGCGCAAUGGGGGAAACCCUGACGCAGCAACGCCGCGUGGAGGAUGAAGUCCCUUGGGACGUAAACUCCUUUCGACCGGGAAGAUUAUGACGGUACCGGAAGAAGAAGCCCCGGCUAACUUCGUGCCAGCAGCCGCGGUAAUACGAGGGGGGCAAGCGUUGUUCGGAAUUAUUGGGCGUAAAGGGUGCGUAGGCGGUUCGGCAAGUCUUGUGUGAAAUCUUCGGGCUCAACUCGAAGUCUGCACGAGAAACUGCCGGGCUUGAGUGUGGGAGAGGUGAGUGGAAUUUCCGGUGUAGCGGUGAAAUGCGUAGAUAUCGGAAGGAACACCUGUGGCGAAAGCGGCUCACUGGACCACAACUGACGCUGAGGCACGAAAGCUAGGGGAGCAAACAGGAUUAGAUACCCUGGUAGUCCUAGCCCUAAACGAUGAUCGCUUGGUGUGACGGGUACCCAAUCCCGCCGUGCCGAAGCUAACGCGUUAGCGAUCCGCCUGGGGGGUACGGUCGCAAGGCUGAAACUCAAGGAUUGACGGGGGCCCGCACAAGCGGUGGAGCAUGUGGUUUAUUCGACGCAACGCGAAGAACCUUACCUGGGCUCGAAAUGUACAGGAAUCCGGGGAACCU
rnacentral:rRNA from 1 species